rnacentral:rRNA from 1 species
UUGCCCUAGUAACGGCGAGUGAAGCGGCAACAGCUCAAAUUUGAAAUCUGGCGCAAGCCCGAGUUGUAAUUUGUAGAGGAUGCUUCUGGGCAGCGGCUAGUCUAAGUCCUUUGGAACAGGGCGUCACAGAGGGUGAGAAUCCCGUAUGUGAUUAGCAUGCACCCGUCACGUAGCUCCUUCGACGAGUCGAGUUGUUUGGGAAUGCAGCUCUAAAUGGGAGGUAAAUUCCUUCUAAAGCUAAAUACCGGCCAGAGACCGAUAGCGCACAAGUAGAGUGAUCGAAAGAUGAAAAGCACUUUGAAAAGAGAGUUAAAAAGCACGUGAAAUUGUUGAAAGGGAAGCGCAUACAACCAGACUUGCCGGCGGUGUUCCGCCGGUCUUUUGACCGGUCUACUCGCCGCCGGCAGGCCAGCAUCGUUUGGGCGCGCCAGAUAAAGGUUUGGGGCGGUGGUUCGCCGUUGCCCCUUACACAAUACGGCGCCGCCCGAGCGAGGUCCGCGCUCCGGCAAGGAUGCUGGCGUAAUGGUUGCCUGCGGCCCGUCUUGAAACACGGACCAAGGAGUCUAACAUCUAUGCGAGUGUUCGGGUGUCAAACCCCUACGCGUAAUGAAAGUGAACGGAGGUGGGAACGCAAGUGCACCAUCGACCGAUCCUGAUGUCUUCGGAUGGAUUUGAGUAAGAGCAUAGCUGUUGGGACCCGAAAGAUGGUGAACUAUGCCUGAAUAGGGUGAAGCCAGAGGAAACUCUGGUGGAGGCUCGCAGCGGUUCUGACGUGCAAAUCGAUCGUCAAAUUUGGGUAUAGGGGCGAAAGACUAAUCGAACCAUUGAACAAGAACACCUACUAGGUGGUUGAGAGGCCGCAGGGCCUAUUUGAAUACAUCGCCAAACUGCGGAGACACUUCACGAAGCCAGACCUACCGCCGGGCACGUCGAAAGGCGCGCCC